GAUGAAGAACGCAGCGAAAUGCGAUACGUAAUGUGAAUUGCAAAUUCAGUGAAUCAUCGAGUCUUUGAACGCACAUUGCGCCCCCUGGUAUUCCGGGGGGCAUGCCUGUCCGAGCGUCAUUGCUGCCCUCAAGCACGGCUUGUGUGUUGGGCCCCGUCCUCCGAUCCCGGGGGACGGGCCCGAAAGGCAGCGGCGGCACCGCGUCCGGUCCUCGAGCGUAUGGGGCUUUGUCACCCGCUCUGUAGGCCCGGCCGGCGCUUGCCGAUCAACCCAAAUUUUUAUCCAGGUUGACCUCGGAUCAGGUAGGGAUACCCGCUGAAUUUAAGCAUAUCAAUAAGCGGAGGA
rnacentral:misc_RNA from 1 species